CUACGGGGUGCACCAGUGAGGAAUAUUGCACAAUGGGGGGAACCCUGAUGCAGCAACGCCGCGUGGAGGAUGACGCAUUUCGGUGUGUAAACUCCUUUUAUAUGUCAAGAAAAUGACGGUAGCAUAUGAAUAAGCACCGGCUAACUCCGUGCCAGCAGCCGCGGUAAUACGGAGGGUGCAGGCGUUACUCGGAAUCACUGGGCGUAAAGGACGCGUAGGCGGGUUGGAAAGUCAGGUGUGAAAUCCUACAGCUUAACUGUAGAACUGCACUUGAAACUUCUAAUCUAGAGUAUGGGAGGGGGAGAUGGAAUUAGUGGUGUAGGGGUAAAAUCCGUAGAUAUCACUAGGAAUACCUAAAGCGAAGGCGAUCUCCUGGAACAUUACUGACGCUAAGGCGUGAAAGCGUGGGGAGCAAACAGGAUUAGAUACUCGAGUAGUC
rnacentral:rRNA from 1 species